AGAAAUGCAUAGAAGGUGCAAAGUAGAGCUAUAUUUUCUGCCAGAGAGUGAGGGUCACCGGCUGUAAGCCCUCUAAGUUCAGGUAUAGUGUUGAAUUUCCCACCGGAGCAGCUCUGUUGAAGUAAUCAGUAGGCAGAGACGUAGGAACACGUUACGUUUUUUGUGAGCCAUUUUGUGAGAACACAGAAUGGGAAACAGGGUGGUACCACGAUAUAUUCGUCCCUUAU
rnacentral:ncRNA from 1 species